GCGUAUCCUCUCUCUCUCUGUCUCUCUAAUCAUGUGAAGCAGCUUCUCACAUUUUAUGACAAGGAACUUCUAUGAACAAAACUUUUGAAAACCUGGAGCAUUGAGGUUCGUUGUAAGUGAACGCCACUUGGUCCACUCAGCAGAACACUUUCUGUAUCCCAAACUGUCUGCCACAGACCCCUCAAGUAGAAGACGACUGUCCCAACUCGCUCUCUCUGUCUCUCUCUACGGAGUCCACGAGGGUCGUUCUUUGUUUGAUCGGGUCGAUUUGAUGGUUGAAAAAGCUUCAGAGGUCAUGGAUUCAAAGUCAUCAUCAUCACAAUCGGAGAUUGGUUCAGCAGAGGAUGUGGUACAGGCAUUGCUGGACUACUUGGUUGCUCCUAUGUUGCCUUUGAAGUCCGCUGGCUGUGAAGUUCCUUCUCUUGAGCAACAACAAUUGGUCGCCAAACAGGUUGGUGCAAUUGUUCUAUACACCUAUGUUUAUCAGAUGCUUGAACCCCCUCCUGAAGGUACCUUCGACAUUGAGGACAGAAAUCUUCCCAUCAAGUACACUGCUAAGGAUAGCACUCUAGUGGAAACUCCUUUGCUUACGGAAGAGGUGGUACCAACAGAUUCAGAUGCUCCAAAGAAAGGAAAGCGUUAUUGGUCGAGAUCAAAGAAAUCAAUGAACAGAAGUACAAGGAGGAUGAUGUGCUACUUGCUAUUGCUGCUGCAAAUAAACAACCGAUUAUUCCACCUAUGGAAUUUGAAUAUCCUGAUUCAGACAUCCAUGAAGACCUUUACCAGCUCAUCAAAUAUUCCUGUGGUGAAAUUUGUACAAGUGAACAGCUGGAUAAAGUUAUGAAGAUUUGGACAACCUUCCUGGAACCGAUUAUUGGGGUUCCUUGUCGGCCUGGGCAGAGGACACAGAAGAUGUUGUAAAGGCUAAAAAUCAAAUUUCACAAAGUGGUGCAGCUAGUGUUGGAGAAAGUAAUGGCAGUCCAGUUGGUGGUGCAACUGUCAUUACUACUAAGGAUUCAAAUCCUUCCAAAAAUGGAGAUGAAAGUAAUCCACCUGAGCAAUUAAGUUCCUGUCAAGCUGGGUUGGUAACUGGUGGUAAUGGGAUGAAGGAAGAUGGUCUUCAGGACUACUUCCAGGCAGUCUUUUGGUUUCAUUUUUCUCACAUUGAUGGUUGGGAUGCUGAGAUGCACUUUUUAUUGCUAGGGCGUGGUGCUACUCCUACGAGACAUGGCAAUGCUAAUGUUGAGGGUGUGGCUGAAAUGGGUCCAAUUGAUGAAAUUUUACCUUCAUUGGAGGGUGGUUGUACAAGGCCAGUUUCAUCUUCAAAUGAGGUGAUUGGGCACUUCAAAAUUGAAAGAGAGGAGGGUGAAUUAUCUCCAAAUGGAGAUUUUGAGGAUAAUUUUGCAGCAUAUGGAGAUGGUGAGGUGGAGGCUGCAUGUAAAUCCAAGGAUAAUUCCCCAUUCUGAGAUUUUUAUUAAAACUGAGUUAAGUAACAGAAGUGAUCAUUGGUUACCUUUGUGAACUCUUGCUUUGUUUGAAUCGUGAAUUUAUAAAUGAAGAAAAAAGUAAUUUAUAUUCA